AAUUGGUUACUAGUUGUUGGCAAAGAAAUCUCAAGAGCAUUUUUAGUAUGGUGAUAUAAUUCCAGACAAAAUGAAAAUUCUCAGUAACUCUUAUUACGGAACAAUCCCUUAAUCUCUGUACGCAUAGCCAACAAAAGAUGUCAGAUUUCACUUUUUCUGUUCUUAUUUUGUCCAGGAGUUUGUAAAAAGAAUGUCAAAGAAGCAGUGUUUUUUGUAUGAGGACAAGUUCGGGUUCAGUUUAUACUACAAUAGCAGCCAAAUGAAAUGGGUGUGGCUAGAUGGUUCAGCUUUUAUUCUGGACAAGCUUCAAUUAAAGAGACCUAACACACCCAAUAAUCAAUGCAAGUAUAUUAAAAAUGGCCAAGUAAUUGAUGGGAGCUGUCAAGAGAACAGUCAUUGUAUAUGUAAGAAGACAGCAUAUGGAGAUUAAAUUUUUAGAAUCAUGAAAAAAGCCAAGAUAAUUUUUCAUCACCUUAUUUAAGAAGUCAUUUAUUUACCUAACACAUGUAUUUUUGAAGUGUCAUGUCCUAUACAAUAUUAUUUGUAGUAAAUAUAUCAAUUUAUUUUAAGCAUAUUACUCCAAAGACUCAAACAUAUGCUAUAUCAAUAACGAAGGACUUGGAGCUGGUGCAGUGGCACAGUGGGUUAAUUCUCCACCUGGGGCACUGGCAUCCCAUAUGGGUGCCAGUUCUAGUCCCGGCUGCUCCUCUUCCAAUCCAGCUCUCUGCAAUGGCCUAGAAAAGCAGUAGAAGAUGGCCCAAGUCCUUGGACCCUUGUACCCGCGUGGGAGACCUGGGAAGAAGCUCCUGUCUACUGGCUUUGGAUCGGCACAGCUCUGGCUGUUGCAGCUGUUUGGGGCAUUAACCAGUGGAAGGAAGACUUUUCUCUCUGUCUCUCCCUCUCACUGUCUGUAACUCUCUUUCUCCAAAUAAAUAAAUAAAAUCUUUAAGAAAUAAUGAAGGA
rnacentral:lncRNA from 1 species